rnacentral:rRNA from 1 species
GACGAACGCUGGCGGCGUGCUUAACACAUGCAAGUCGAGCGGAGCGGCGAACGGGUGAGUAACGCGUGAGUAACUGCCCCCCUCUCUGGGAUAACAGUUGGAAACGGCUGCUAAUACCGGAUAGUGGGGGAUGACUCGCGUCCUAUCAGCUUGUGGGUGGGGUAGUGGCCUACCAAGGAGACGACGGGUAGCCGGCCGGAGAGGGCGACCGGCCAAAGUGGGCGGAGAUACGGCCCAAACUCAUACGGGAGGCAGCAGUGGGGAAGAUGGCACAAGGGGGGAAACCCUGAUGCAGCAACGCCGGGGGCGGGAGGACGGCCUUCGGGUUGGAAACCGCUUUCAGCCAGGACGCGGUAGUGGCAGAAGAAGCACCGGCUAACUACGUGCCAGCCGCCGCGGUAAUUC